AAUAAGUGCAGUUUUGCACUAUUCACGUUCAACGUUUGAUCGUUCGUCUUAUUUAAAAAUUUUUUAUGAUUAGUACUUUUAUUGCUAUUAGAUGAUAAAACAUGAAUAGUACUUUAUGUGUGACUAAAUUUUUUUUAUUUUUUUUAUAAAUUUUUUAAAUAAGACGAACGGUCAAAUAUUGGACAUGGAUAUCCACAGCUACACUUAUU
rfam:Oryza glaberrima chromosome 5 Oglab05_0017_12, whole genome shotgun sequence.